rnacentral:misc_RNA from 1 species
GCCAAUACUUGUCCGAGACUGGGCUAGCCAAUACUUGUCGCGUUCCGUCGUCUCUCCCACGGACUUAAAUGAAAGUCUUUCCCUUAUCAUUUGCUGCCAGUUUACCUAGUGAUCAUGAACAUUAAUAUGUAAAUGGACAGAUCAUCACUUAAAACCAAAGAAGUUUUGGGAUGGAUUGUCAAGACAAAUGCAUGAGUUACCUAUCUUUAAAAGAACUGCUCCUUAUAAGUGACACAAUGUGCAGAUUAGUAUCAGGUAUGCUCGGACCGACAGGAAAUCAGACGCUUUUAUCCACAGCCACUGGAAAGGCUAUUGCAUCAAGAGAUGGUUUAAAAGUCUUGUCAGCUGUGUAUGUGAAUCAUCCUGUUGCAAAAUGUAUUCUCAGCACAAUGAAAAACUAUCACAUACUCACUGGAGAUGGAUCCAAGAGCUUUUUAAUAUAUUUGCAAGCAAUUCUGAAAGCUGUCGAGAAACUGGCAUCUACGUCAGAGACAUAUAUUUGUAAAAGAUAUUCUGAAUCUCCUUAUUUUAGGAUUAGUUUGUCCCAGAAACUCCAUUAUUUUUUGUUAGAGGAGUUCCCUUUUUUUUCAUCAGUGAUGCUUGAGAAAUGUACUCUAGUUUGUACAGAAAUGGCUGAUUUUUGUUCCACUAUAAGAAUUAUUGUUACAACAGUAUUAAACACUACAUUGCCUGGGUAUGCAACUGACCUUUUAACAGAAAUGUUGUGCAGCUUCUUUGAUGUUGAAAGAUUCUUCACUUGGGAUCAAGAUCAAAUAGACAAAUGUCUUUCACAGGUGUUAGGUUUUUUAGAUUCUUAUCAUGUCAAGAUCUCAGGUUAUCCAUAUGAAAAAUCAGAGAUCUAUUUUGGAGUUUUACUAGAACAGGAGUUUGUAGUGCCAUUGCCAGACUUGAGAAGCACAGAGAAAAAUUUGCAUGUGAUCAUGAUAUCUUGUCAGAUAGAGGAUGACAGUUGUGACACAGUCAGUCCCACUCAUAAACUUAUGGAAAAGUGUUUCUUACAAAAAAGGACAAAGAUUUUGAGGUUUGUAGAGGCUCUUAAAGCUGCUGGCAUUGAUGUUAUUUUAUUAUCUGAAUGCUGUCCAGUUUAUUUUCAAGGCAUAUGCCAUGAUCAUUUACUUUCAGUGGUGCAGAAUGUGGACAAAGAUAAGGUCAGUUUGAUUCAACAUUUAACUGGUGCAGUUCCAUUACAUGACCUUAGAGAAGAGUUUAUGAAUAAUGGAACGUUUAUAGCAGAUGUAUGUAAAAGAAUGAAAAUUGGCAGAAAGUCAUUUAUUCUUGUUAAGCCAUCAAAGAUAGAAGAGCCAUGCGGUCUGGCAAAACAGAUGAUAUUGUGUGCACCAACAAAUAGCAUGUGUGAUCAGGCCUGUGAUUCUUUAAAAAAGGCAAUUCUUUCUUUGAGGAUGUGUCUUUGUUUUCAGAGAUAUAUUUCUUCAUCUUUAACUGCAUGUAAGCCAUCAUCAAAAGCUUUGACUGUAAACAAAUCUGGUAAAGAUACAGUUCGUAUAAUUUGUGCUGUGGGUCCAGGGGGAUGUUUUGAAGCUUUACUUUGGAGUGUCAUACAACAGCACAAGUCUGGUGAAAAAUCCCUUUGCAGAGAGAUGAAUUUGAUUCUUCGAGAAAUGUUGUUAUCAGUUCCUCAAAGAUUGUGCACCAAUAAUUCUCCGUCCUAUUUCCAAGGUCAGCAUGAUUUUUUGCGCAAGUGGUCAGCAAUGGUGCAAGGAGCCAGCACAGGGUUAGCCCUGGGCUUCAACUGUAGUGCUGAUAUUAUAGAUAUGAGCAUGGCUGGGAUUUUGGAACCCCUACCCAGCAAGCUGUUGCUGGUUUCUUGUGUAAUUCAGCUGGUACAGCAGUUGCUGCGACUUGAUGCUGUUGUUGGUGUUAAAAAACACUGAUAUGUACUUUAUACCAAGAGAGGGCACCUUUUUCAUUCUUUCUUGUUACUGCAGUUGUGUAACACAUUGUGGAUUCUUUAAAGCAUCAAUUGCAGCUGCACUACCUUUUGAAAAUAGUGUGCACUUUAUGCUGUGUAAACAGAUUCGUAAGAUCUAAAGGGGAAUGUUGUCUUAUUAUUUCACCUACCUUGGCAACAUAGCAAAGAUGGAGGUGUAGAUGAAGAUGUCAGAAGCCGAAUAAAUAAAGCCAGGCUUGCAUUCCACACAUUCCCUGCAACCUGUCUGGAGCUCCAAGGCAUUAUCUCUACACAUCAAAGGAUACACACUCUACACAUCUUCAACGCAAAUGUAAAGUCAGUCCUUCUAUAUGGAUCUGAGACAUGGCGUGUGACAAACACCAUCACAAACAAGAUUCAGACAUUUGUCAACAUGUCUGUGCCACAUCCUCAACAUCAGAUGGCCCAAGAAGAUCGUGUGAAAGCCGGCCGACAAUUUAACAAGACAAACUCUGGGCUGGAACCCACAGAGGAGAUGCAGGGUUGGGAGACCCAGAUGGACAUGGGAAAGAUUGGUCCACAGCGAGGCGGAGGCAGCUGGCAUGACAUGGUCCUAACUGGAAAGGGAUGCCCAGAACCGGAUCUGAUGUCGUGGUGUAGUUGCAGCCCUAUGCUCCACUGGGGGUGAUUAGGAACAAGAAGAAAGCCUCUCCCUAGAGAACAGGAAUAGUCUUUUCUCCCAUUUUAAUAUCUGUUACGGGAUCACCGGAACUAAGCAGAGGGACUUAGCAGACUCUCGUUCUUGCAGGGUGGCUGCAGAUACAUGAUGCCUGUAUGCAGAACAAAUGGUCACUGCAACUUAUUCAUUCCCCUUGAUCAAUUCUACUGGCCAUGAUGCUGUGUUAGCCUGAGGUGACCUAAUGCAGUGUACCAACCGUUUCUACUGUUGCUGUAUAUAUCUAUAUAGAAAGAACUUGUUCACCAACUGUGUCUGUGGUUGCUGCAAAUAUCCAUACAGAGAGAAAGUUUGUUCAUUAACUGUGUCUACUGUUGCUGUAUAUAUCAGUAGUCAACAUAUACAGUAUAUAUAUAUGUACUCAUCUGUAUAUUGAUACCACAUAAGCACCUAUAAAUUUUACCUGUAAUUGCCCUUCCAGAUUAAUAAAGUUGUAUGUUUUUAGUGCCCUCUCAUUUUUUUA